rnacentral:lncRNA from 10 species
AUGUGAAAACGGAUGAGUUUGCUUCCCCUUUUGCUGUGAUUAUAAGUUUCCUGAGGCCUCCCAAGUCAUGUUGAACUGUGCUCCUCUCCUUGAGGCAUUCCAUUGCUUCCCUUUACCCCCACAGUUUAUGGAGAGAUGAGAUGAGCAAACACCAAAGGAAAAGCGCCUUGGGAGACACUGCAUCCUUCUCCUUGCACGACUUGUCUAAGUCAUGCAUUUCUUUCCUCCCGCCUUCUGCAUUCUGCCCUGGUGCUGACGGUCCUUCCAAAAGGAAGAAAUCUUCCCAGGUAUUGGCUGUGUCCUAAAUAGCUGAGAACUGAAACUAUCUAAGUGAAAGGCUUAGUAGACAUUAAUCAAACCAAAAAGAGACAGAUAAUUAUGAUAUACAAAGAGAAGGAUUUAAAAAUAGUGUAUGAAAGAAGAGAAAUCUACAAGGAAGAAAUUCUAAAAGAAACAAUUCUGAAAGGAAUUCACCAGGUGGAUUCUGCAAGUUCUUUUUUUUUUAACAGAGUCUUGCUCUAUGUGUAAGUUUUAAUCUUCACACUGAGAUGUCUACUAAUUGCACCAUCAUGUACCAACAGUGACCCUGACUUUGAGUCUUAUUCUGGCCAUUCAAUAUAGAGGAGUGAGUGAACCUCUGAAUAAACCAGGGGUAGGGGAAUGAAAAAAAUUAUAAAUAGAUAACCUGCGGAUGGGAAAAACAGUGAUUGGAACAAUGGAAAUAUUGAUUGGGAACAGCAGAGAGUCACUAAAGUACAGUCACAUACUUAUAUCUCAUUCAUUCAUUCAUUCAUUCAUUCAUUCAAUGCUGAGUGGAUUUGGAUAAAUGUUUACUGAAGACACACCCUGUGCCUGUCUUCCCUGUGCCUGGCAGUGAAAAUGCUC